rnacentral:rRNA from 1 species
GAUGAACGCUGGCGGCGUGCUUAACACAUGCAAGUCGAACGAGAAGUGAAGACGGAAACCUUCGGGCGGAAGGCUUUAUUUCGAGUGGCGGACGGGUGAGUAACGCGUGGGUAACCUGCCUCAUACAGGGGGAUAACAGUUGGAAACGACUGUUAAUACCGCAUAAGACCACAGCACCGCAUGGUGCGGGGGUAAAAACUCCGGUGGUAUGAGAUGGACCCGCGUUCGAUUAGCCAGUUGGCGGGGUAACGGCCCACCAACGCGACGAUCGAUAGCCGAUCUGAGAGGAUGACCGGCCACAUUGGGACUGAGACACGGCCCAAACUCCUACGGGAGGCAGCAGUGGGGAAUAUUGCACAAUGGGGGAAACCCUGAUGCAGCGACGCCGCGUGAGUGAAGAAGUAUUUCGGUAUGUAAAGCUCUAUCAGCAGGGAAGAAAAUGACGGUACCUGAGUAAGAAGCCCCGGCUAACUACGUG